rnacentral:lncRNA from 1 species
CCCGGCUGCAAGCUAGGUCGUCGACUGUAGGAAAUCAGUACUACUUUAGGAACAGUGUUGUAGAUCCAUUUAGAAAAAAGGAGAAUGAUGCAGCAGUUAAAAUCCAAAGCUGGUUUCGAGGAUGUCAAGUUCGGGCAUAUAUCAGGCAUUUAAACAGGAUUGUAACAAUUAUUCAAAAAUGGUGGAGAAGUUUCUUAGGCAGAAAGCAAUAUCAACUAACUGUGCAGAUGGAGUCUCACUCUCUUCCCCAGGCUGGAGUGCAAUGGCACGAUUUCGUCUCACCGCAACCUCUGCCUCCUGGGUUCAAGCGAUUCUCCUGCCUUAGCUUUCUGAGUAGCUGGGAUUACAGGCUCCAGCCACCACACCUGGCUAAUUUUUUUGUGUUUUUAGUAGAGACAGGGUUUCACCAUGUUGGCCAAGCUGGUCUCAAACUCCUGACCUCAGAUGAUCUGCCUGCCUCGGCCUCCCAAAGUGCUGGGAUUACAGGUGUGAGCCACCACGCCCGGCCAAACUUUUUUUUUUCCCUUCUCCUGUCUUGAUUUUGGUUAAAAACAUCAUUUUAAAAAAGUAACUCUUUGAAUUACUCUGAAAUCAAAUGCCUCUAUUUCUGUUUCUGCUUAACAUUUUGGAAAGGAAAAAUUGGGAAGAAGAUGUAACUAAUAGUUACAGAAUAUAUCCUAGGUGCCAGACACUGUGGUAAGCAUUAAAUAUGCAAUAUCUCUGAGUCUUCUACCUACCUUUUGACUCUCAUUGAACUGUAGAAAGAGGACAGGCUUUAGACCUGAUGACGGAAGUUUGAUGACUGUGGGCAAGUUAUUUAACCUGUGUGGACCUUGCUUAUGUCCCUUGUCUUUAAAAUGAGGAUAAGAAUGUGUGGGAGAUUUUUGUGAAAAUUAAGUGAAACACUGUACGUAAAAUACCCAGAACUGUGAUUGGCACCUAGUCGGUGCUCAAAAAUGGUAGUUUUUCAUUUGUGAUGCUGUUGUUAGUAUUAUUCAAAAACUAUCGAGGCAGUUUGCUUAGAGUAAUAUGAGUGAGUGAUUUUCAGAUCAGAUUAGCUCCAUUUUACAUUUCUCUCACUUAUGCAUAAUCACAUGAUAAUUUUAUUAUAUGUGAGUGAGUGUAGUGUGUGGAUAGAUAGAUACAUAGGCAUACAAUUUUUAUACAGUGACUCAGGAAACCUCUUACAUUUUGAAGCUUGUCUUUCUUAGAAUUAGUGACAAUAGAAAUUAGGAGGAAAGCAAAGAAACACAAAGACAGAUGUCUUUAAAUCUGUACUUAUAAUAAAUAGG